rnacentral:rRNA from 1 species
AGUGAACGCUGGCGGUAGGCCUAACACAUGCAAGUCGAACGGCAGCACAGUAAGAGCUUGCUCUUACGGGUGGCGAGUGGCGGACGGGUGAGGAAUACAUCGGAAUCUACUUUUUCGUGGGGGAUAACGUAGGGAAACUUACGCUAAUACCGCAUACGACCUACGGGUGAAAGCAGGGGAUCUUCGGACCUUGCGCGAUUGAAUGAGCCGAUGUCGGAUUAGCUAGUUGGCGGGGUAAAGGCCCACCAAGGCGACGAUCCGUAGCUGGUCUGAGAGGAUGAUCGGCCACACUGGAGCGGGGACACGGACCAGACUCCUACGGGAGGCAGCAGUGGGGAAUAUUAGACAAUGGGCGCAAGCCUGAUCCAGCCGUACCGCGUGGGUGAAGAAGGCCUUCGGGUUGUAAAGCCCUUUUGUGGGGAAAGAAAAGCAGCAGGUUAAUACCCCGCUGUUCUGACGGUACCCAAAGAAUAAGCACCGGCUAACUUCGUG